CCAAUUCACUGCUUUUUCAUAGGAUGGAUAGAAUCCAGAUGUCUGUGUAACUAAAUCCGAAUUAAGCAGAGGUCCAGCAGCUGAUAAAUGUUCAUCUGCCAAGGAGAAGUGCCCAGGAACCUGCAAAACCACCAGGCUUGGAGAGAAUCCCAGCAGGUUUCAGCUCUGCUUUGCUUUUGUGCUGCCAGUGCCCAUCAGGCAGACAGGAGGUCCACAGAGCACUGCAGGCAUUGAUGACGGAGCACUGCCAGAAGCGACUGCAAUUUUGUGCCUGUGCUGCUUCUCUUGAUGAGACCUGGGAAAAGGGGGCGAGAAAUAUGUUUUUGUGAGGUUAUCACUGUUACUGCCUAAGAACACGAUUACCAAAAUACUUCUACUUCCUCUAUUUCCCCUUUUGUGCUCAUGCACGGAUGUUGCUACUGAUAUUCCCUGAACUCCCCUGAAAAAUAAAGAGUGUUUUAUCCGUAUUCCCCAAGUGCCCAAUACAAAUGC
rnacentral:lncRNA from 1 species